GACACUCAUUGUCAAUCAAAUUAAUCACUCUGGUUUUAAUUUUUUCAAAAAGCAAAAAGAACAUUUAAUCCCAGGCUUUUUUUUUAAUCUUCCAGGAUUUUCACCUACGUGCUCUGAAGCUGACACAGGACCUAAGUAACAGAAUGCCUGGGGUCUCCAACACCAAGUAGAGUACCAUGAUGGAUUAUCCCUCAUGUGGCUGGGAGCAGAGCUGUACCAGCCACCACAAACUGCUGCCCUUCAGCUAUGCCAUCCUGCCUUGGAGCCAGCAGAGCAUGGACUGAAACUUCCAAAAAUUGUAAGCUGAUUCACUUAUUAAAUUUGGCAAGAAGACUUAGCACUUUGUCUAUCAGGGUGAAGUUCCCUAUUAGCUAUUCUUGGGAAGACAAUUCACAUGUUAAAAUUAAGACUGAACACAUGAACACGAGGUGAAGCACUCCUUCACACCAGACACUGAAUGUUGUCUCACAUGUCCUGUUCUUGACCACAGGAAGCAAGGUAAGGACAGGUGUAUGUGCCAGGGCAAGCCAGGACACCAUGCUAGAAACACUGACUCAAGUCAUUUCCCGAGACAGUGUCUACAAUUCCAUUAUCUUUGGAGGAAAAUACAUUUGACUGCUCAACAUAUUGACUUGCUCAAAUUCUUUACAAAUUUUAAGUUAUGGAAUUUAAAAUUUCCAUUAACUCACCUAAAAACGUAUUUUGUAAAAAAGCUAAGACAGACACAUUGAUAUUAUUGGUCACUAUCACUGAAUGCCAUGACCAAAACCAAAAUACUAAUGUUGCCCAGGUACCAAUAUUCUGAGUUUAAUCUGCACUAGGAGAAAAAUCAAAUCUCUGACUUCUUUAAAUAACAUUCAUGAGAAUUUCUGAUGCAUGGAAACAUUAGAAAAAAUUCUGUUAGGAAAGAAAUGGUGAGGCAUUUUAGACACAUCCCUUAGUACUCUAGCCUUUCUUUUAAAUAGUGCAUAAUUCAGGACAGGUUCAUGCCUCACAGGGAAUCAAAAGACUUUGCCUGGAAAAUUCUUCUCAGGUCAGCAGCUAUUGACACAGAACAGAAAAAUGGAAAAUUUUCCUCAGGAGGAAUUUCCUAAGAUUUAAUUUCAGACAAUCAAUUACAACUAAUAAGAAAGUUACUCUAGUCCUGGGAUGUCAAAUAUGGCAGUCAUUAGUCAUGUGAAAUACUUUAAUUUUAAAUUAAUUAAAACUAAGUCAAAUUAAAAUUUCAGUUCCUCAGUCUCACUAGCCACAUUUCAAAUGUUCAAGAGCAGCAUGUUUCUAGGAGCCAAUGUGUUAUAUACUGCAGAUAGAAAACAGUUCCAUAAUUACAGAAGGUUCUAUUAAGCAUCUCAGAUCCAGUGCAAAACCAACGUUCUCAAGCAACAAAUAUUUCAGACACAAACUGCUUCACCCAGACAGUUUUCAAGUUCACUGCUGAUAGAGAAGAAAUCUCUUCUUUCUCCCAGGUUCUUUACCUUUCAGACCUGAGAAGAGAAGUUUUCUCAGAGUCAAAUGUGGACAUUUUCAGAAGCCAACCACGUGCUAGAAAGCACUGACCAUCCAUUCCUAGAGAUAACACUGGCAAUCCACGCCACCUUCAUGUGUGACCAGUGAUGAUAAAACUGAAAGAGCACCUAAAUCUUAAAAAGAUCACGCUGAAAUGUUAAUGAAUGAGUUCCUCCAAUGAAAAUGGUCCUGUGCCCUCACACCAAAGAAACAAAAUGGGACCAAUCUAAAGACAAAUGGAUGCUUAUUACUAUUUAAAAACUUUUGGGAGUACUAUCAUAAAGCUUUUGUUUUACCCAAAGAAAGUCAAAAUUAACUCAUGUUGUUAGUUAACACAAGCAAAUGCAGCAGUGAAACCUGUCUUAGUAGAUUUGUCUCUAAGGGUAAUUUUACUCAUAAUGUCUAAGCUUGGCCAUUUCAUUUAUUAAAAAGAGAAACGAAUUCUACAUCUUAC